UGCGUAGACGGUAUGUUAAGUUCGUUGUUAAAGGCUCCGGCCUAACCGGAGUACCGCAAUGAAAACUGGCGUGCUAGAGGGUGAGAGAGAGAAGUGGAAUUCCCGGAGUAGCGGUAAAAUGCGUGGAUCUCGGGAGGAACACCAACGGCGAAGGCAGCUUCUUGGCUCAUUCCUGACGUUGAGGCACGAAAGCGUGGGGAGCAAACAA
rnacentral:rRNA from 1 species